UACGGAGGGGGCUAGCGUUGUUCGGAAUUACUGGGCGUAAAGCGCGCGUAGGCGGACCUGCAAGUCGGGGGUGAAAGCCCGAGGCUCAACCUCGGAACUGCCUUCGAUACUGCGGGUCUCGAGUCCGGGAGAGGUGAGUGGAAUUCCUAGUGUAGAGGUGAAAUUCGUAGAUAUUAGGAAGAACACCAGUGGCGAAGGCGGCUCAGCUGGCCCGGUACUGACGCUGAGGUGCGAAAGCGUGGGAGCAAACAGG
rnacentral:rRNA from 1 species